rnacentral:lncRNA from 1 species
CCAUAAUUGCCAUCUCAAAUCAAUAUAUAUCCUGAUGCUGAAUUUCAAAAUUAAUGUUUUUCAUGUAAGGCAUGAGGCCCAGGAUCAAGUGGAUUCAAGUGCAUUCAUGGCAAGAUGAAGGAUUACUUUCUUAUGCUGUCAAUUCCAAAUAAAGCAAAACAUCCAAACAAAACAUGUGGUACCUUUUAAUUUUCUGAAUGAGUAGCUCCCAAUCAAUGCUUCCUCGGUUAGAGACAAGCUGAAGAAUCUACCGAAACAAA